UGGUAAUUAGUUUAACUAAAACAAAUGAUUUCGACUCAUUAAAUCACGGGUAAAACCGUGAAUACCAA
rnacentral:tRNA from 1 species